rnacentral:rRNA from 1 species
UACAGAGGGGGCAAGCGUUGUUCGGAAUUACUGGGCGUAAAGGGCGCGUAGGCGGCCUGCUAAGUCGAACGUGAAAUCCCCGAGCUCAACUCGGGAACUGCGUCCGAUACUGACAGGCUUGAAUCCGGGAGAGGGAUGCGGAAUUCCAGGUGUAGCGGUGAAAUGCGUAGAUAUCUGGAGGAACACCGGUGGCGAAGGCGGCAUCCUGGACCGGCAUUGACGCUGAGGCGCGAAAGCUAGGGGAGCAACGGG